AACGAACGCUGGCGGCAUGCCUAACACAUGCAAGUCGAACGAUACCUUCGGGUCUAGUGGCGCACGGGUGCGUAACGCGUGGGAACCUGCCCUUAGGUUCGGAAUAACUCCCCGAAAGGGGUGCUAAUACCGGAUAAUGUCUUCGGACCAAAGAUUUAUCGCCUUUGGAUGGGCCCGCGUUGGAUUAGCUAGUUGGUAUGGUAAAAGCCUACCAAGGCGAAGAUCCAUAGCUGGUCUGAGAGGAUGAUCAGCAACACUGGGACUGAGACACGGCCCAGACUCUUACGGGAGGAAGCAGUGGGGAAUAUUGGACAAUGGGCGAAAGACUGAUCCAGCAAUGCCGCGUGAGUGAUGAAGGCCUUAGGGUUGUAAAGCUCUUUUAACCGGGAUGAUAAUGACAGUACCGGGAGAAUAAGCGCCGGCUAACUCCGUG
rnacentral:rRNA from 1 species